CCGGGGUGAGGAAGGAGCGGCGGAGAUGCAGAGGCUUGCCGUGACUAUUUCUUUGAAAGAUGCCAUCAGGAACACACAAGGCUCGCUCUACGUCCGCAAUAUCAACAUUACAAAACUCCUCUUCACGAGCAGCAGCGAAUUCACAAGCAAUGUUCUCAGGCCACUGUGUGUUGAAGAAGGCAUUAAUGGUGUCCGCAUCAAAAGGUACCCGGCGGCCCCGUACGUAGCUCAUGAAAGGUUCCUCC
rnacentral:lncRNA from 1 species